rnacentral:rRNA from 1 species
GACGAACGCUGGCGGCGUGCUUAACACAUGCAAGUCGAGCGGUAAGGCCUUUCGGGGUACACGAGCGGCGAACGGGUGAGUAACACGUGGGCGACCUGCCCUCAGCUCUGGGAUAAGCCUGGGAAACUGGGUCUAAUACCGGAUAUGACCACAUGUCGCAUGGUGUGUGGUGGAAAGUUUGUUCUUAAUUGGACACUUCGGCUGGGGAUGGGCCCGCGGCCUAUCAGCUUGUUGGGGGGGUGAU